rnacentral:rRNA from 1 species
UAGGGAAUCUUCCACAAUGGACGCAAGUCUGAUGGAGCAACGCCGCGUGAGUGAAGAAGGUUUUCGGACCGUAAAGCUCUGUUGUUGGUGAAGAAGGAUAGAGGUAGUAACUGGCCUUUAUUUGACGGUAAUCAACCAGAAAGUCACGGCUAACUACGUGCCAGCAGCCGCGGUAAUACGUAGGUGGCAAGCGUUGUCCGGAUUUAUUGGGCGUAAAGCGAGCGCAGGCGGAAGAAUAAGUCUGAUGUGAAAGCCCUCGGCUUAACCGAGGAAUUGCAUCGGAAGCUGUUU